GACCGUUCCGGCCGUGCGUGUUUGCAUGAUGUGCAACUUGUUUCUCCUAACGUAACGUUAGUGAAAGUUGGAAGUGUAUCAAAGUUUUUCCGAAAUUCAGAAAUAUUGGUUGUUAUCACCUUAGGUUGUGUUGAUAUUGUGAGUUUUGAUAAUUCAAAAAUUUGACAGGUAGUACCUUUGAAGUGAAAGGCAGUGAUAUUGGCCAAGUGCAUUGAGCCGUUACUAACUGAUUUCCAGAAAUUUGCAGUUGCAGAUCGUAAGCAGAUAUGAGCCUCUCUUGGCAGCAGAUGAUGAUGAUGGUGAUGAGGAUGAUAAUGAUGAUCAGAACAUUGAAACCUUCAAACAGAGAAGACGAGUAAAGGGAGCAAAGAAGAG